rnacentral:rRNA from 1 species
GACGAACGCUGGCGGCGUGCUUAACACAUGCAAGUCGAACGGAAAGGCCCUGCUUUUGUGGGGUGCUCGAGUGGCGAACGGGUGAGUAACACGUGAGUAACCUGCCCUUGACUUUGGGAUAACUUCAGGAAACUGGGGCUAAUACCGGAUAGGAGCUCCUGCUGCAUGGUGGGGGUUGGAAAGUUUCGGCGGUUGGGGAUGGACUCGCGGCUUAUCAGCUUGUUGGUGGGGUAGUGGCUUACCAAGGCUUUGACGGGUAGCCGGCCUGAGAGGGUGACCGGCCACAUUGGGACUGAGAUACGGCCCAGACUGCUACGGGAGGCAGCAGUGGGGAAUAUUGCACAAUGGGCGGAAGCCUGAUGCAGCAACGCCGCGGGCGGGAUGACGGCCUUCGGGUUGUAAACCGCUUUCGACUGUGACGAAGAGUGAGUGACGGUAAUGGGUAAAGAAGCACCGGCUAACUACGUG